rnacentral:rRNA from 1 species
UACGUAGGGUGCGAGCGUUAAUCGGAAUUACUGGGCGUAAAGGGUGCGCAGGCGGCGUCGCAAGUCAGGCGUGAAAUCCCCGGGUUUAACCUGGGAACUGCACUUGAAACUACGAUGCUGGAGUAUGGCAGAGGGAGGUGGAAUUCCACGUGUAGCGGUGAAAUGCGUAGAGAUGUGGAGGAACACCGAUGGCGAAGGCAGCCUCCUGGGCCAAUACUGACGCUCAUGCACGAAAGCGUGGGGAGCAAACAGG